rnacentral:rRNA from 1 species
UACGUAGGGUGCAAGCGUUGUCCGGAAUUAUUGGGCGUAAAGAGCUCGUAGGCGGUUUGUCGCGUCGGCUGUGAAAUCCCGAGGCUCAACCUCGGGCCUGCAGUCGAUACGGGCAAACUAGAGUGUGGUAGGGGAGACUGGAAUUCCUGGUGUAGCGGUGAAAUGCGCAGAUAUCAGGAGGAACACCGGCGGCGAAGGCGGGUCUCUGGGCCAUAACUGACGCUGAGGCACGAAAGCUAGGGGAGCAAACAGG